rnacentral:misc_RNA from 1 species
GGGAUUCGCGAGAGUUCGUCACAAAGUUCCUGAGAGACAUAAGACAAAAAUCAUGCUAUAAGACACAGUUAUUUUAUUAUGCUCAUGUUCGUUUUGGCCCACUCAUAAACCCAAAUCUAACGGUUGUUGUUCGGUCCUACGUUUGAUCUUGCCAAGUGUAGCCACAUCAUACGAAUCAGAGGUAUAAUCCAUAUGCUAUGAUGAGCACGAUGAGCACUAUAUCACUCGACUGCUGGUAUAGAAGCAAAAAUCAUAGCUAGACGCCCUAGUCACAUUUUCG